GAUGAACGCUGGCGGCGUGCUUAACACAUGCAAGUCGAACGAAGCUGUUAAAAGGAAGUCUUCGGAUGGAAUUUUAACAGACUUAGUGGCGGACGGGUGAGUAACGCGUGGAUAACCUGCCUUAUACAGGGGGAUAACGGAGAGAAAUUUCCGCUAAGACCGCAUAAGACCACAGCACCGCAUGGUGCAGGGGUAAAAUAUUAAUAGGUAUAAGAUGGAUCCGCGUCCGAUUAGCUAGUUGGUGAGGUAGAGGCUCACCAAGGCGAUGAUCGGUAGCCGGCCUGAGAGGGUGAACGGCCACAUUGGGACUGAGACACGGCCCAAACUCCUACGGGAGGCAGCAGUGGGGAAUAUUGGACAAUGGGGGAAACCCUGAUCCAGCGACGCCGCGUGAGUGAAGAAGUAUUUCGGUAUGUAAAGCUCUAUCAGCAGGGAAGAAAAUGACGGACCUGACUAAGAGCCCCGG
rnacentral:rRNA from 1 species